rnacentral:rRNA from 1 species
GACGAACGCUGGCGGCGUGCUUAACACAUGCAAGUCGAACGGAAAGGCCCUGCUUGCAGGGUACUCGAGUGGCGAACGGGUGAGUAACACGUGGGUGAUCUGCCCUGCACUUCGGGAUAAGCCUGGGAAACUGGGUCUAAUACCGGAUAGGACCAUCGUUUAGUGUCGGUGGUGGAAAGUUUUUCGGUGCAGGAUGAGCCCGCGGCCUAUCAGCUUGUUGGUGGGGUAAUGGCCUACCAAGGCGUCGACGGGUAGCCGGCCUGAGAGGGUGGACGGCCACAUUGGGACUGAGACACGGCCCAGACUCCUACGGGAGGCAGCAGUGGGGAAUAUUGCACAAUGGGCGCAAGCCUGAUGCAGCGACGCCGCGUGGGGGAUGAAGGCCUUCGGGUUGUAAACUCCUUUCAGCCAUGACGAAGCUGGCCUUGUUGGGUCAGUGACGGUAGUGGUAGAAGAAGCACCGGCUAACUACGUGCCAGCCGCCGCCGUAAAAC